rnacentral:tRNA from 1 species
AACUAUAUAGUCUAUAGGAAUAGGAUUUUAAGAUGCAAGCUUAAAGGAAAUUUAAAUUGGUUUAUAGUUU